GAUGAACGCUGGCGGCGUGCCUAAUACAUGCAAGUCGAGCGAACAGACGAGGAGCUUGCUCCUCUGACGUUAGCGGCGGACGGGUGAGUAACACGUGGAUAACCUACCUAUAAGACUGGGAUAACCUCGGGAAACCGGAGCUAAUACCGUAUAAUAUCUUGAACCGCAUGGUUCAAUAGUGAAAGACGGCGUUUCGGGCACUUCUCGAUGGAUCCGCGCGGCAUGAGCUGGUUGGUAAGGUCACGGCCUACCAAGGCUACGAUGCGUAACCGAGGUGAGAGGGUGAUAGGCCACACUGGAAGUGAGACACGGUCCAGACUCCUAAGGGAGGCAGCAGUAGGCAACGUUACGCAGUGGGCGAAAGCCUGACGGAGCAACGCCGCGUGUGUGAUGAAGGUCUUCGGAUCGGAAAGCUCGGUUAUUGGGGAAGAACAAAUGUGGAAGUAGCCAUGGAGGUCUUGACGGUACCGGAUCAGAAAGCCACGGCUAACUACGUG
rnacentral:rRNA from 1 species